AUCCCUCCUGAGAGGGAGAAUUAUGAUAAAAGUUUCAGCUCUGCUGUUUGGCCGAAUCCUCCAGGGGAGACUUUGGGCAGAGAAAUAUGGAGUUUGGGGACAGGCAGAGUCUGUGCUCUUGAAUCUACAUCUCUCUCCUUUCCAGGUGAAGCUGAGUGUUUCUCUGUGUUGAGAAAAAGCAACUGGAUGUUCCACCUUGUGAGAGUCCUUUGAUUCUUCUAAUUCUUCUUUAGAAACAGGAAAGGGAUUCAUUGAUUCACACCAUCAAUUAUGGACCUCCUGCUUCUGCUUCUGAUGCUGCUUUUGUCCCAUUCAGUCUCUGGGAAGCUGAGAAUGAAAUGCCCAUUGAGUUUGGAGAACCAGGAUGGGAAACCAUGGAGCUACUACAGACCAGGAGACCAUCUAAUCAGUAUAGUCAUCAGUGGAAAUGAAAUAUUGCAUACAAAGUUGCCUUUCAACGUGGCUCCUUCUCUUCAGUUUGCUUUCUAUGAUUCGACUUCUUUUUUUUGCUUAGUAUUCAUUUUCAACAUUCAACUGGCCAACAAGAAUUCCCAUCUCUUGCACAAUCUCACACUGGGCUACAACAUCCAUAACAACUAUUUGAGCACUUUCUACACUUCAGAUGCCUUGCUGGACAUGCUCUCCACUGGAGAAGCCAAUGUCCCCAACUACAGCUGUGGAAGGAAGGAGAACCUCCUGGCUCUUCUUGAUGGAACCAAGAGGGAGAUCUCCAUCCAAAUGUCAACAUUAGGAGACACCUACAAAGUCCCACAGAACAUCUUUUCUGUCAAAGGCCGCAGAAGAUGCACCCAGAAAACCCCACUGGAGACCCAGAAGAAAAGGAACAGAAAAAGGAUACCAAAUGACGAUCACUUUUACAGUAUGAUGAAGACUCUGGCCCAGGCCUUGAAUGCCGCUUAUUCCUCCAGAUCGAGGAGGAGAAGGAAGGAGAGUGAAAAGACUUUGGGGUUUCCAAGGCUGCAGCCAUGGCAGUUUCAUCCCUUUGUGGAGAAGAACGAGUUUUGCAAUAUUUCCAGCAUUAAACUGUACUUGGACCAAAAUGGAGAGAUAACGGCAGAUCUGAUGAUUGACAGUUUCUUGGUUCUCCCCAAGAAGUCUCCCAGGAUAGAGACUCUGGCGUAUUUUGUAAGACAGAGACUUUUUAUUGACCAAGAUACUCUUUCACUGCUAAAGUUGCUCAAUAAGUCCCUGCCACAGUCCAAAUGUGUGGAAAGUUGUCAUCCUGGAUUUGUCAAGAGGGCUCGAGAAGGUGAGCCAGUUUGCUGCUAUGACUGUGUUCCUUGUCCGGAGGGGACCUUCUCCACUCAGGAAGGUUCCUCACCAACUGGCUGUUCACAACCGGGAUGUGGAGGCCCUCAGUCCCAGGCGUUGGGCAUCAUGGGCCUCUGGAGCGUUGCUGGAGGCGAAGAGUCAGGUGAAGAUGGCUUGUCUUCCCCCUCAGGACUGGACGGCUCAUCCUCCUCAUCUGGACCAGAUGGGGCCAACUGAGCGUGCUCAGAACUCAUUCCAGCCCAGGAGCCGAUGGGGGCGGACCUCUCCCUUUGUGCUUCAGAGCCAGGCCUGGGCCCAGGCCUGUGGGGCUCUGAAGAGUCUUCUGGAAGCCCCCCUGGUACUGGAACACUUACCAGGGGGCGAAGGCUGCAGGAUGGGGCUGGAAAAGCCUGAAAAUGCUGAGGAUCGCCUGGAGGGGCCCACCGCUGGCCCUGAAGACUCCAGAGGAGGCAUCCAUCUUGGGAGGUGGGAGGCUCGGCUGGAGGCCUCCUGAAGUCAUCAAGAGGCAGUUCUGUGGCUGUUGUUGGGAGGUGUGCACGUCAGCCCGUCUGCAACAAUCUCCAGCAUACAUCUACAAAUCAAUCCCUUUGGGGCAUAGGAAUGCUUUGAUGCCUACACAGAGUUGCAGCAACCCUCCCUCAAACCCAAAGUCAAAUGUCUUUUGCUGCAGGAGGUGAGAGGCGAGUAGGAGGCCGCGAGCCCUGUGUCAGAAAGGGAUGUUUCUAACCCCCACCAGGUUAUCCAAGACAAGGUAUUUUCGGUUGGAGAACUAGAACUAGGCGACAGCAACAGGCGUGGAAGGACAGACCUACAUUUGAGCAUACAUUUGAACCUCUCCCUCCAAGAUCCUUCAAGAAGAUCUUUCUGUUUAUGGCUAGUUGAAUUUGGUUUAGGGGUAUAAAUUUGCCAUAGGUGUACAGUAAAGGCCACCUAACCAAGCAGAAGAAAGGGAUGGACUUUCUGCUAACCAGUUAAGCAAAUGUAUGUAGGAAACACACCACAGCAGUAAUGGGAGACUUAACUAUCCUAACAUCAACUGGGAGACAAACUCUGCAUCAAUUGAGAGGUCAAUCAGGUUCGUGACCGACCGAGCUAACUACUUUGUCAUCCAAAAGGUAGAGGAGGGAUCGAGAGGGACAGCUAUACUCAUCUAAUGCUUACUAACAGAGGAAAAAUGACAGAGGAGGUUGGAGUUCCAGGAACUUUGGGGGAGAGGGACCAUGUCAUAUUAGAAUUAAACAUCAUGCAGAAACCAGCAAUAGAACAUAAUCCAACCAGUGUCUUAAGACUAUUUCAACAAACAUAAAGACAGCUUUAGAAGGAUUCCAUGGAUGAAAAUCAAGGGAAAAAUAAUUCAAGAAGCUUGGGAAACUCUGAAAAAUACAAUCAUAAAAGCCCAGUCCAGCACAAUAUCACUGGAAAAGAAAAAUAACAAAUCCAAGAAGAAACCAGUAUAAAUGCACAAUGAACUCUCUGAUAAAUCAAAAGAUAAAAAGGAUAAGUAUAAAAAUUGGAAAGAGGGACACAUAAUUAAGGCAGAAUACCAGCAAAUAGCCCAAAUCCGCAAAGACAAAGUCAGAAUGACUUAGUUCUGAACUAAGACUUGGGAGGGGGAAAAGGCAAAAAUAAUUUUAAAAAGAGUUUCUUCCAACAUAAAAAAACAAGAAAAAAGUCAAGGAAACAAUCGGUCCACUAAUGGGAGAAGAUGACAAGGAAGUGACAGUCAGCAGGGAGAAAGCAGAAAUGCUUAAUCCUUUCUUUGCAUCUGUUUUCACACAAAAAGAAAAAACCACCCAACCUACCAAAAACAGAACUGUAAAAGACAGACUAGGAAUUCAAAUUAAAAUAAGCAAGAAAAUGGUGAGAGAACACCUGUCCGCUCUAGACGAGUUCAAAUCCCUGGGACCUGACAGACUCUAUCCCAGGGUUCUGAAGGAGCUGGCAGACAUUGAAACACAUCUGUCAAAAAUCCUGAAGCACCAAGGAAUUGCCAGAGUUCAAUACCCAAUCAAAAAAAAAUAAAAAUGAAAUUGAAUGGGUGAAAUGA